CUAUGUGGUUUAAUUCGAAGACAACGCGAAGAACCUUACCAGGUCUUGACAUCCCUGACAACCCGAGAGAUCAGGCGUUUCCCCUUCGGGGGACAGGGUUGACAGGUGGUGCAUGGUUGUCGUCAGCUCGUGUCGUGAGAUGUUGGGUUUAAGUCCCGCAACGAGCGCAACCCUCGACCUUAGUUGCCAGCAUUCAGUUGGGCACUCUAAGGUGACUGCCGGCUAAAAGUCGGAGGAAGUGGGGAUGACGUCAAAUCAUCAUGCCCCUUAUGACCUGGGCUACACACGUGCUACAAUGGGCGGUACAAAGGGUCGCGAACCCGCGAGGGGGAGCCAAUCCCAAAAAGCCGCUCUCAGUUCGGAUUGCAGGCUGCAACUCGCCUGCAUGAAGCCGGAAUCGCUAGUAAUCGCGGAUCAGCAUGCCGCGGUGAAUACGUUCCCGGGCCUU
rnacentral:rRNA from 1 species